AGAGUUUGAUCAUGGCUCAGAACGAACGCUGGCGGCAGGCCUCAAACAUGCAAGUCUAGGGGGUGCAGCAAUGCAUCACCGGCGGACGGGUGCGUAACGCGUGGGAAUAUACCUAUUGGUUCGGAACAACUGCGGGAAACUGCAGCUAAUACCGAAUGUGCCCUCACGGGGAAAGAUUUAUCGCCAAUGGAUUAGCCCGCGUCCGAUUAGCUAGUUGGUGGGGUAAAAGCUCACCAAGGCUCCGAUCGGUAGCUGUUCUGAGAGGAAGAUCAGCCACACUGGGACUGAGACACGGCCCAGACUCCUACGGGAGGCAGCAGUUGGGAAUCUUGGACAAUGGGGGAAACCCUGAUCCAGCCAUGCCGCGUGAGUGAUGAAGGCCUUCGGGUUGUAAAACUCUUUCGACGGGGACGAUAAUGACGGUACCCGUAGAAGAAGCUCCGGCUAACUUCGUGCCAGCAGCCGCGGUAAUACGAAGGGGGCUAGCGUUGUUCGGAAUUACUGGGUGUAAAGCGCGCGCAGGCGGCUAUCCAAGUCAGUGGUGAAAGCCCGGAGCUCAACUCCGGAACUGCCAUUGAAACUGUUUAGCUUGAGGAUGAGAGAGGUGAGUGGAAUUCCCAGUGUAGAGGUGAAAUUCGUAGAUGUUGGGAAGAACACCGGUGGCGAAGGCGGCUCACUGGCUCAUUACUGACGCUCAGGCGCGAUAGCGUGGGGAUCAAACAGGAUUAGAUACCCUGGUAGUCCACGCCGUAAACGAUGAAUGCUAGCCGUUGGGCAGCUUGCUGUUCAGUGGCGCAGCUAACGCAUUAAGCAUUCCGCCUGGGGAGUACGGCCGCAAGGGUUGAAACUCAAAGGAAUUGACGG
rnacentral:rRNA from 1 species